GGAGCACAAGGAUCUACGUUAAUCCCAACAAGCAGACGCACAAGGAUCUAUGUUAAUCCCAAUAAGCAGGUGCACAAAGAUCUACGUUAAUCCCAACAAGCAGGUGCACAAAGAUCCACGUUAAUCCCAGCAAGCAGGUGCACAAGUAUCUACGUUAUUCCCAACAAGCAGACGCACAAAGAUCCACGUUAAUCCCAGCAAGCAGGUGCACAAGUAUCUACGUUAAUCCCAACAAGCAGGUGCACAAGGAUCUAUGUUAAUCCCAACAAGCAGGUGCACAAGGAUCCACGUUAAUCCCAACAAGCAGGUGCACAAGGAUCCACGUUAA